rnacentral:rRNA from 1 species
CCUACGGGCGGCAGCAGUGAGGAAUAUUGGUCAAUGGGCGCGAGCCUGAACCAGCCAAGUAGCGUGAAGGAUGACUGCCCUAUGGGUUGUAAACUUCUUUUAUAAAGGAAUAAAAUGAGGCACGUGUGCCUUUUUGUAUGUACUUUAUGAAUAAGGAUCGGCUAACUCCGUGCCAGCAGCCGCGGUAAUACGGAGGAUCCGAGCGUUAUCCGGAUUUAUUGGGUUUAAAGGGAGCGUAGGUGGGUUGUUAAGUCAGUUGUGAAAGUUUGAGGCUCAACCGUAAUAUUGCAAUUGAUACUGGCAGCCUUGAGUACAGUUGAGGUAGGCGGAAUUCGUGGUGUAGCGGUGAAAUGCUUAGAUAUCACGAAGAACUCCGAGUGCGAAGGCAGCUUACUAAACUGCCACUGACAUUGAUGCUCGAAAGUGUGGGUAUCAAACAGGAUUAGAUACCCUUGUAGUC